CCGCAAGAUACCACGGGCGCACGGCGGAUGCCUUGGCACAGGGAGCCGAUGAAGGACGCGGCAAGCUGCGAUAAUCCCCGGCGAGGAGCACACAUCCUUCGACCCGGGGGUCUCCGAAUGGGCGAACCCAUGCACAGCAGUGUGCAUAUCCCCACCCCGAACACAUAGGGGCGGGGAGGACAACCCGGGGAACUGAAACAUCUAAGUACCCGGAGGAGAGGAAAUCAAUCUCGAGACUCCCCGAGUAGCGGCGAGCGAAAGGGGACCGAUGGCCAAACCGUCGAGCGGGCAUACCCGGCAGGGGUUCCGCCGACGGGGUUGCAGGGCCGCGCAUCCGGGGGCUGCCGCCCCCGGGCGCAGGUCCGGCUGGGGAGCGGAACGGCAUGGGAGGGCCGGCCGCAGCGGGUGACAGCCCCGUACGCGAACCCAGACCGGACGGCGCGACGCGGUCCCUGAGUAGGGCCGGGCACGUGAAACCCGGUCCGAACCUGGGUGGACCACCAUCCAAGCCUGAGUACUACCCUGUGACCGAUAGCGCACCAGUACCGUGAGGGAAAGGUGAAAAGCACCCCGGGAGGGGAGUGAAACAGUACCUGAAACCGUGCGCCCACGAGCAGUCGGAGCAACUUUCAGUUGUGACGGCGUGCCUUUUGUAGAAUGAGCCAGCGAGUCGCUGGCGCGGGGCGAGGUUAACCGAAAGGGAGCCGGAGCGAAAGCGAGCCUUAACAGGGCGACUUGAGUCCCGCGCCGCGGACGCGAAGCCGGGUGAGCUAUCCGUGGGCAGGCUGAAGCGGGGGUAAGACCCCGUGGAGGGCCGAACGCACGUCGGUUGAAAACGGCGGCGAUGACCUGCGGAUAGGGGUGAAAGGCCAAUCAAACCCGGAGAUAUCUCGUUCUCCCCGAAAUAGCUUUAGGGCUAGCGUCGCGCGUUCACCGCCGGAGGUAGAGCACCGGAUGGACGAGGGGGCUUCGCCGCCUACCGAAUCCAACCGAACUCCGAAUGCCGGCGGCCCAGAGCGCGGCAGUCAGAGCAUGUGGGCUAAGCUGUGUGCUCGAGAGGGAAACAGCCCGGACCGCCCGCUAAGGUCCCCAAGUUCCAGCCGAGUGGCAAAGGAUGUGCGUCCGCCCAGACAACCAGGAUGUUGGCUUAGAAGCAGCCAUGCAUUCAAAGAGUGCGUAACAGCUCACUGGUCGAGUGGACAUGCGCCGACAAUACACGGGGCUAAGCUGGACACCGAAGCGGCGGGAUUUUGAUUUUCAGAAUCGGUAGGGGAGCUUCCCAUGGGCGGGGAAGCCGCCGGGCGACCGGCGGUGGAGCGCAUGGGAGUGAGAAUGCUGGCAUGAGUAGCGAGAGACGAGAGAGUAACUCGUCCGCCGUGAACCCGAGGUUUCCUGGGCAAGGCUAAUCCUCCCAGGGUCAGUCGGGGGCUAAGGCGAGGCCGGGAGGCGUAGCCGACGCGCAGCAGGCAGACAUUCCUGCACCGCGCACGCGGCGCUACGACCGACGGGGCGACGGAUGGGGGUGGCUCGGCGGGGUUCUGGACGUCCCCGUGAUGGAGCGCGGCCCGCGGACCAGGGAAAUCCGGUCCGCACGAGGGCGAGGCUCCGGACGAAGCGAUUGAGCGAAGCGAGUGAGCCCGAGGUCCCUAGAAAAACCCCUAGGCAGGCGCGUGCGCGCCCGUACCGCAAACCGACACAGGUGGGUGGGUAGAACAUACCGAGGCGAUCGGGUCAACCAUGGUCAAGGAACUCGGCACAAUGGCCCCGUAACUUCGGGAGAAGGGGUGCCCGCGCGUACGUGAACCGGCUUGCCCGGGGAGCGGAGGCGGGCCGCAGUGGAGAGGCCCAAGCGACUGUUUACCAAAAACACAGGACUCUGCAGAAGCCGCAAGGCGACGUAUAGGGUCUGACGCCUGCCCGGUGCCGGAAGGUCACGCGGAGGAGUUAGCGCAUCGCGCGAAGCCCCGAAGCCAAGCCCCGGUA
rnacentral:rRNA from 1 species